GGGCAUGUAGCUCAGUUGGUAGAGCGCGUCAUUAGCAUUGACGAGGUCUUUGGUUCGAUUCCUAACCUGUCCA
rnacentral:tRNA from 1 species